GUUUUCAUAGCUCAGUUGGUUAGAGCACUUGUUUAGUAAGCGGGAUGUCUUAAGUUUUUGAAGGCUUUUUUUUUAAGGCGGGAUGUCUUAAGUUGAAGUCUGAAUGAAAGCA
rnacentral:tRNA from 1 species